ensembl:misc_RNA Metazoa_SRP Metazoan signal recognition particle RNA
GCCGGGCAAGGUGGCUCAUGCCUGUAAUCCCAGCAUUUUGGGAGGCCGAGGUGGGUGGAUCACUUGAGGCCAGGAGUUUGAGACCAGCCUGGCCAACACAGUGAAACCCCAUCUCUA